GCCACAGCUCAAUGGCAGAGCUUCUGUCGCGCAUGCAGAACGUCCCUGGUUCAACCCCAGCAUCUCCAGGUAGAACA